GCGGCAUGCUUAACACAUGCAAGUCGAGCGGCAGCGCGGGGAAACCUGGCGGCGAGCGGCGGACGGGUGAGUAAUACGUAGGAAUCUGCCUUGUAAUGGGGGACAACCCGGGGAAACUCGGGCUAAUACCGCAUAAUCUCUAAGGAGGAAAGUAGGGGACCUUCGGGCCUUACGUUAUAAGAUGAGCCUGCGUCGGAUUAGCUAGUUGGUGGGGUAAAGGCCUACCAAGGCGACGAUCCGUAGCUGGUCUGAGAGGACGAUCAGCCACACUGGGACUGAGACACGGCCCAGACUCCUACGGGAGGCAGCAGUGGGGAAUAUUGGACAAUGGGCGCAAGCCUGAUCCAGCCAUGCCGCGUGGGUGAUGAAGGCCCUAGGGUUGUAAAGCCCUUUCGGCGGGGAAGAUAAUGACGGUACCCGCAGAAGAAGCCCCGGCUAACUUCGUGCCAGCCGCCGCAGUAA
rnacentral:rRNA from 1 species